AUGUGUGGCGGGGAGAGGGGGGGAGCAAGUUAAGCGUGCUUGGGCAAGAGUAGUACUAGGAUGGGUGACCUCCUGGGAAGUCCUUGUGUCGCACCCC
rnacentral:rRNA from 1 species